CUGAACUGUAGCGGUCUGGAGAUUAAAAAGGUUUCCGGGGAAAACCCAUUUUCUGGAAAAGUAUUCUCGGGAGUACUCAGUUUUAGCAGCUAGGAAAGGAAAUCCGAGCACACAGUAGCUACCGAUCUCUUGCUCAGGUUGCUGCAUUAUCAAGCAAGUAACGGCAAAAUGAAUAUAUCAUGCGUUUUUCUCUUCUCUUUUGACGGUGUUAGAGCAGGCAAUUAGAGAUGCACAGAUUACAAAAUGCAACCAGAGCAUAUAUGACAUGUCACACUCACAUAUUCUAUUCUUGUCAUUGCCUUUUCCUAUUGAAAGUUCUCAAAGAGUAGAUACAACAAUACACUUUGACCAAUAAAUUAUGAAAUGAAGCUGAGCCUUUGUUGCAUCCAUGAGAUGAUGAGUGAU